GCUGGCAGAGACUUCUCUGAUGAGAAAAUGAUAAGUGUUUUCAAAUGCUGUUCUGGUUAAAAGAAAGCUGAUCCAAGGACUCUACUGCAAAUCAUCUCUUUGGGGUGUUGACUGUCAAGAAAGGUAUUUUUCUGUGCCUUCCUUGCCCUGCCUCUCAGAUGACACCUGUUUCCUGGUGGCAUUUCUUCUAACUUGAGUUAGAUUCACAAUUUCUCAAGCUGCUGGAAGGAUCCUACGAUCAACUUUUCCUGGGGAGACAUGAACAAAUGCCUACUCACUCCAGAUUGGGCACCAUCAAGAAACCAAAUGAAUGACUGUACCCAAGUCUAGCUUAGUGAAGCAAUGCAUUUUUUUGCACUUGUUCCCAGGAAUAUGGAGUUAGUGAGCACCUUGCAGACACACAGGAUGUACUUCUCCAAGAUGGUGCAAUGGAGCAGAAACAGCUCAUGUCCCUAAUAAGAAGCCACGAGGGACCUCAUUGCUUAUUGAAGAGUCUUGCAGCAUACUUUGUUCGUUGGUCUUUUCUUAAUGGUUGGCUAUUUCUCCUCCAAUUCAAGCCACCCACUGAUCUAAGUCAUUCUUGAACACGAUUAUGAGUGUUUUCAUACAUAUGUGAUGCAUUGAGUAACUGAAUGGAUCCCAUCUGGGAGAUAUAUAAAGUGGACACUGAAGUGACUCAUCAGGCAGCUGCAGAGAAUACACAGAUGAGAAUGGCAGGGAACUCCACCAUGAAGAUGCUGAGCAUCAUCCACACCAUUUCCAGAAGAUGGAAAAAGCCACAUGACUGUGGAACACCACAAAAUUGAGGAAGAGUUUGAAGCUCACGGCUGCCAGAGUGAAACCUUGGGCUCUGGUAUUAGCUGCCUUGUACAUGGCUGAUUGGAACACAAAGGAAAAUAAUCUUGUAAGUUGUUGAUGAAAACAAGACUACUUGAAAUUUUAAUAUGAAAAACAUCCUUCAUUGUCUGGCCUAUCAAAUAUUUAAUGGUUCUAAACUUCAAGUUAUUCUGAGAACAAGAUAGGAUAAUAAUGUAUAAGUCACAAAAUUAAAAUUGUCAAGUGGGUGAUGUAUGAUGAAGUGUAUAAGCACAUGCACAGAAAAAAAUUAUACAACUUAAUUGACAUUAAUAAAUAAAUGAGGAGUUCCAGAAGAGUCUUUGUUGGCCUGUGACUAUGUUAGUCAACCUGAAAUCAAUCAAAAGGGCAACUGGACAUUCCAAUCUCUGGUGGGGGUUAGGGGCUUGUUAAUAGCAAGCAGCUAGCAGUAGACACAGGGAAGAACACACACAUACGUUAACCCAAGCCAAAAAUAAAAUCAUCAAAAAACAACCUGAAGCAAUUUCGAAAAUAAAGAUAAUAGUAAUGAUGUCAGAAACAGCAGACUGUGAUUAGGGAACCAGGGCGCCUUCAUGACUUGAUCAUUUUGGGACCCUUCUUUCUUCAGAACCUUUGAUGCAUCUUCCUCCUAUAUCACUUCCUGUUCUCAGUCCAUUCUGUUCACACUUCCUAUGUCACUUCCUAUUCUGGGUCCUCUGUGUAUACUCACUCUGUCUUAGUACUUCACAUCCCUUAUCCUCCAUCCAAUCAAAAAUGCUUCUCAGAAGUGCCCAUUCUACAUCUCUUAAGCAUACAUGUUGUCUAGUCUUGAAGCUCUGCACGGCAAGAUGUCAUUUUACACUUUCCUGCUUAGCUCUCAAUACUAACCCUCCUAAAACUUCAAUGACAGGGUACAGAGUGAGCUGUAUGCAGCCAUGCAGGUACCAAGUGUUCCCUGAAUGUUGUUAACCUCAUUCUUCUUCUAAUGUUCUUGUUUAAUGUGUCUGCUUUCCUGUGCACAUUUGGUUCAAUUCCCUGUUAACUUUAGAAAUCUUGGGUUCAAUAUUUUCACGCUUUCUAUAGAAGGCCUGUUUCAGCUAACAAAAUGCCUCCACUUGCUUUCUCUGUCUCUAAAUAUCAAGCAUCAGUCAUGUGCUACACAAGUACCACAUCACAGAAGACUCUGGAGUAUUGGAUGGAGGAUCUAAGGCAGUGGUUCUCAACCUUCCUAAUGCUUCAACCCUUUAAUAGAGUCCCUCAUGUUGUGGUGACCCCCAGCCAUAAUGUUAUCUUCAUUGCUACAUUGUAACUGUAAAUGUUCUACUGUUAUGAAUCAUAAUGUAAUCUGUUUACUCACGGUCUUAGGAAACCUCUGUGAAAGGGUCAUGCGACCUUUCAAGGGAUAGUGACCCUAAGGUUGAGAGCCACUGAUCUAGAAGCUGUGUGAUGGAUUCAGGUCAACUUUCAGCUUUGAAGGUAAUGCAUUGUUAUGUGACACUCUUUCUGGACAGAAGGGAGCAAGCACCUGUGUACCCAAGAUGGGAAACUCAAUACAAGCAGAAGUAAGAGUUCCAUCCAAGCCCAAUUUAUUGAACUAACAGGUGUAUUAGGAUUUCUUACCAUAACAUGAGUGAAGGGUUGCUUAUAGUAGCAGAAAUUACCCAAAGUCAGCUGCAUCAACAAAGCACACUCCAGCAUGGGUGACAGCUUACAAAGCUGGGAACCUGGAGCACAUUGUUUAGGUGCAGGCAGCUCAACGGGUCAAUGGGUGUCCUUUCCAGGCAGCUCAGUUGAUCUGAGAGGGUCUUCACUAGUCCUAAAUAUUUAUAUACACUUAGGAACGGAGAAGCCUGCCUUUGAGUUGUUGAUUUUCUGCGCUCAGUGGGCUUACCUGCUGGCUGGACUGUUUCACCUCCCUUUAGGGCACCCUGUGUCUUAAGGAGGUUUUAUUGCAGACGACAUUACUACACAGCACAGCUUGUGCUUCAGUUAGGGCACUUGAAACAGGAAGGUAGGGAUUGUGGAUCCCUUUGGACACAUUGCUGAUUUCAAGUACAAUACCUUCACCCCAGCAACAGACUUUUGAGACACAAAGAGUAAUUUAAAACCAACACACAAGGUUAUCAUUAAAAUCUCUACCACACUAUUAUACUGUCACUUGACAAAACUGGAAACAAUUGUUUGUUUUGCAAUGAUUUAUUACAGAAA
rnacentral:lncRNA from 1 species